rnacentral:rRNA from 1 species
AUUGAACGCUGGCGGAAUGCUUUACACAUGCAAGUCGAACGGCAGCACGGACUUCGGUCUGGUGGCGAGUGGCGAACGGGUGAGUAAUGUAUCGGAACGUGCCCAGUCGUGGGGGAUAACGUAGUGAAAAUUACGCUAAUACCGCAUACGAUCUAUGGAUGAAAGCGGGGGAUCGCAAGACCUCGCGCGAUUGGAGCGGCCGAUAUCAGAUUAGGUAGUUGGUGGGGUAAAGGCCCACCAAGCCAACGAUCUGUAGCAGGUCUGAGAGGACGACCAGCCACACUGGAACGGAGACACGGUCCAGACUCCUACGGGAGGCAGCAGUGGGGAAUUUUGGACAAUGGGCGAAAGCCUGAUUCAGCCAUUCCGCGUGCAGGAUGAAGGCCCUCGGGUUGUAAACUGCUUUUGUACAGAACGAAAGGGUUUCUACUAAUACUAGGAGCUCAUGACGGUACUGUAUGAAUAAGCACCGGCUAACUACGUGCCAGCCGCCGCCGUAA